rnacentral:tRNA from 1 species
GCGGGAAUUGCCAAGCUUGGUCAAAGGCGCUGGACUCAGAAUCCAGUCUUGUAGAAGUACGGGGGUUCAAAUCCCUCUUCCCGCA